GACGAACGCUUGCGGCGUGCUUAACACAUGCAAGUCGAACGGAAAGGCCCUGCUUUUGUGGGGUGCUCGAGUGGCGAACGGGUGAGUAACACGUGAGUAACCUGCCCUUGACUUUGGGAUAACUUCAGGAAACUGGGGCUAAUACCGGAUAGGAGCUCCUGCUGCAUGGUGGGGGUUGGAAAGUUUCGGCGGUUGGGGAUGGACUCGCGGCUUAUCAGCUUGUUGGUGGGGUAGUGGCUUACCAAGGCUUUGACGGGUAGCCGGCCUGAGAGGGUGACCGGCCACAUUGGGACUGAGAUACGGCCCAGACUCCUACGGGAGGCAGCAGUGGGGAAUAUUGCACAAUGGGCGGAAGCCUGAUGCAACAACGCCGCGUGCGGGAUGACGGCCUUCGGGUUGUAAACCGCUUUCGCCUGUGACGAAGCGUGAGUGACGGUAAUGGGUAAAGAAGCACCGGCUAACUACGUGCCAGCAGCCGCGGUGAUACGUAGGGUGCGAGCGUUGUCCGGAUUUAUUGGGCGUAAAGGGCUCGUAGGUGGUUGAUCGCGUCGGAAGUGUAAUCUUGGGGCUUAACCCUGAGCGUGCUUUCGAUACGGGUUGACUUGAGGAAGGUAGGGGAGAAUGGAAUUCCUGGUGGAGCGGUGGAAUGCGCAGAUAUCAGGAGGAACACCAGUGGCGAAGGCGGUUCUCUGGGCCUUUCCUGACGCUGAGGAGCGAAAGCGUGGGGAGCGAACAGGCUUAGAUACCCUGGUAGUCCACGCUGUAAACGGUGGGUACUAGGUGUGGGGUCCAUUCCACGGGUUCCGUGCCGUAGCUAACGCUUUAAGUACCCCGCCUGGGGAGUACGGCCGCAAGGCUAAAACUCAAAGGAAUUGACGGGGCCCCGCACAAGCGGCGGAGCAUGCGGAUUAAUUCGAUGCAACGCGUAGAACCUUACCUGGGUUUGACAUGGAUCGGGAGUGCUCAGAGAUGGGUGUGCCUCUUUUGGGGUCGGUUCACAGGUGGUGCAUGCCUGUCGUCAGCUCGUGUCGUGAGAUGUUGGGUUAAGUCCCGCAACGAGCGCAACCCUUGUUCACUGUUGCCAGCACGUUAUGGUGGGGACUCAGUGGAGACCGCCGGGGUCAACUCGGAGGAAGGUGGGGAUGACGUCAAGUCCUCAUGCCCCUUAUGUCCAGGGCUUCACGCAUGCUACAAUGGCUGGUACAGAGAGUGGCGAGCCUGUGAGGGUGAGCGAAUCUCGGAAAGCCGGUCUCAGUUCGGAUUGGGGUCUGCAACUCGACCUCAUGAAGUCGGAGUCGCUAGUAAUCGCAAAUCAGCAACGCUGCGGUGAAUACGUUCCCGGGGCC
rnacentral:rRNA from 1 species